rnacentral:rRNA from 1 species
AUUGAACGCUGGCGGCAGGCUUAACACAUGCAAGUCGAGCGAGACGCGGACGGGUGUGUCACGUCUGGGAACUUCCCUGAAGGAGGGGGAUAACUCCUGGAACCGGUAGCAAUUACCGCAUACCAUCAGCUGUGACCAGAUGGUAUUAGCCAUUAGGUGGGGUAAUGGCUAACCUAGGCCACGAUCCAUAGCUGGUCUGAGAGGAUGACCGGCCACACUGGAACUGAGACACGGUCCAGACUCCUACGGGAGGCAGCAGUGGGGAAUAUUGCGCAAUGGGCGCAAGCCUGAGACAGCAAUGCCGCGUGUGUGAAGAAGGCCUUCGGGUUGUAAAGCACUGUCAGUGAGGAGGCGGUACCCGCACAGGAAGCAACGGCUAACUCCGUGCCAGCAGCCGCGGUAAUUC